rnacentral:rRNA from 1 species
UUCCGUAGGUGAACCUGCGGAAGGAUCAUUACCGAGUGCAGGUCUGCCCCCGGGCAGGCCUAACCUCCCACCCGUGAAUACCUGACCAACGUUGCUUCGGCGGUGCGCCCCCCCCCGGGGGUAGCCGCCGGAGACCACACCGAACCUCCUGUCUUUAGUGUUGUCUGAGCUUGAUAGCAAACCUAUUAAAACUUUCAACAAUGGAUCUCUUGGUUCCGGCAUCGAUGAAGAACGCAGCGAACUGCGAUAAGUAAUGUGAAUUGCAGAAUUCAGUGAAUCAUCGAGUCUUUGAACGCACAUUGCGCCCCCUGGCAUUCCGGGGGGCAUGCCUGUCCGAGCGUCAUUGCUGCCCUUCAAGCCCGGCUUGUGUGUUGGGUCGUCGUCCCCCCCGGGGGACGGGCCCGAAAGGCAGCGGCGGCACCGCGUCCGGUCCUCGAGCGUAUGGGGCUUUGUCACCCGCUCGAUUAGGGCCGGCCGGGCGCCAGCCGGCGUCUCCAACCUUCUAUUUUACMRGGUUGACCUCGGAUCAGGUAGGGAUACCCGCUGAACUUAAGCAUAUCAAUAAGNC